rnacentral:rRNA from 1 species
GACGAACGCUGGCGGCGUGCUUAACACAUGCAAGUCGAACGGAAAGGCCCCCUUGUGGGGUACUCGAGUGGCGAACGGGUGAGUAACACGUGAGUAACCUACCCUUGACUUUGGGAUAACUUCAGGAAACUGGGGCUAAUACCGGAUAGGAGCUCCUGCUGCAUGGUGGGGGUUGGAAAGUUUCGGCGGUUGGGGAUGGACUCGCGGCUUAUCAGCUUGUUGGUGGGGUAGUGGCUCACCAAGGCUUUGACGGGUAGCCGGCCUGAGAGGGUGACCGGCCACAUUGGGACUGAGAUGCGGCCCAGACUUCUACGGGAGGCAGCAGUGGGGAAUAUUGCACAAUGGGCGGAAGCCUGAUGCAGCAACGCCGCGUGCGGGAUGACGGCCUUCGGGUUGUAAACCGCUUUCGCCUGUGACGAAGCGUGAGUGACGGUAAUGGGUAAAGAAGCACCGGCUAACUACGUG